UAGACAUCAUGAGCAAAGCACACCCUCCCAAGUUGAAGAAAUUUAUGGAAAUGAAGUUAUCACUGAAAUUAAAUGGUGGCAGACAUGUCCAAGGAAUAUUGCGGGGAUUUGAUCCCUUUAUGAAUCUUGUGAUAGAUGAAUGUGUGGAGAUGGCAACUAGUGGGCAACAGAACAAUAUUGGAAUGGUGGUAAUACGAGGAAAUAGUAUCAUGAUGUUAGAAGCCUUGGAACGAGUAUGAACAACAGCUGUGUUCACCAGAGAAAUCAACUGCUUCCAUGUGUCUCCUUCUCCACAUUUUACUAUCAGAAAAAUUGGGUUGUGUACAUUUUCUUAUUGAACUUUUUUGUUAAAUAAACUUUUGUAAUAG